rnacentral:rRNA from 1 species
GAUGAACGCUGGCGGCGUGCCUAAUACAUGCAAGUCGAGCGAACAGACGAGGAGCUUGCUCCUCUGACGUUAGCGGCGGACGGGUGAGUAACACGUGGAUAACCUACCUAUAAGACUGGGAUAACUUCGGGAAACCGGAGCUAAUACCGGAUAAUAUAUUGAACCGCAUGGUUCAAUAGUGAAAGACGGUUUUGCUGUCACUUAUAGAUGGAUCCGCGCCGCAUUAGCUAGUUGGUAAGGUAACGGCUUACCAAGGCGACGAUGCGUAGCCGACCUGAGCGGGUGAUCGGACACACUGGAACUGAGACACGGUCCAGACUCCUACGGGAGGAAGCAGUAGGGAAUCUUACGCAAUGGGCGAAAGCCUGACGGAGCAACGCCGCGUGAGUGAUGAAGGUCUUCGGAUCGUAAAACUCUGUUAUUAGGGAAGAACAAAUGUGUAAGUAACUAUGCACGUCUUGACGGUACCUAAUCAGAAAGCCACGGCUAACUACGUG